GAUGAACGCUGGCGGCGUGCCUAAUACAUGCAAGUCGAGCGAACGGACGAGAAGCUUGCUUCUCUGAUGUUAGCGGCGGACGGGUGAGUAACACGUGGAUAACCUACCUAUAAGACUGGGAUAACUUCGGGAAACCGUAGCUAAUACCGGAUAAUAUUUUGAACCGCAUGGUUCAAAAGUGAAAGACGGUCUUGCUGUCACUUAUAGAUUGAUCCGCGCUGCAUUAGCUAGUUGGUAAGGUAACGGCUUACCAAGGCAACGAUGCAUAGCCGACCUGAGAGGGUGAUCGGCCACACUGGAACUGAGACACGGUCCAGACUCCUACGGGAGGCAGCAGUAGGGAAUCUUCCGCAAUGGGCGAAGGCCUGACGGAGCAACGCCGCGUGAGUGAUGAAGGUCUUCGGAUCGUAAAACUCUGUUAUUAGGGAAGAACAUAUGUGUAAGUAACUGUGCACAUCUUGACGGUACCUAAUCAGAAAGCCACGGCUAACUACGUG
rnacentral:rRNA from 1 species